rnacentral:rRNA from 1 species
GGUCAAGCUACAAAGGGCACAGGGUGAAUGCCUUGGCACUGGGAGCCGACGAAAGACGUGAUAAGCUGCGAAAAGCCACGGGGAGCUGCAAAUAAGCCUUGAUCCGUGGAUAUCUGAAUGGAGCAAUCCGGCGGAUGUAACGAUCCGUCAUGGCAUACUGAAUCCAUAGGUAUGUCAGGGGAACCGCCUGAACUGAAACAUCUAAGUAGGGCGAGGAAGAGAAAUCAACCGAGAUUCCGUAAGUAGUGGCGAGCGAAAGCGGAAGAGGCCAAACCGCAUGCAGCAAUGUGUGCGGGGUUGCGGACUGCAUAAGGUAUGUUGAAGUCUAGCUGAACUGUAUGGGAAGGCAGACCGGAGAGCGUGAGAGUCGCGUAAGCGAAAGACAGAGACAGCCGGCAGGAUCCAGAGUACCGCGGGACACGUGAAACCCCGUGGGAAGCCGGGGGGACCACCCUCCAAGCCUAAAUACUCCCCAGUGACCGAUAGAGAAUAGUACUGUGAAGGAAAGGUGAAAAGCACCCCGGGAGGGGAGUGAAACAGCACCUGAAACCCUGAGCCUACAAGCACAUAGAGCACGUCAAAGUGUGAUAUGGUACCUUUUGUAGAAUGGUCCGGCGAGCGUAUGUAUGCAGCAAGGUUAAGCGCUUAAGGCGUGGAGCCGAAGGGAAACCGAGUCUGAAUAGGGCGUGAAGUUGCAUGCAUAGGGCCCGAAACCGGGUGACCUAUCCAUGUCCAGGUUGAAGUGGGAGUAAAAUCCCAUGGAGGACCGAACCGACCUCCGUUGAAAAGGCGGCGGAUGAGGUGUGGAUAGCGGAGAAAUUCCAAUCGAACCCGGAGAUAGCUGGUUCUCCCCGAAAUAGCUUUAGGGCUAGCGUUGUAUUAGAUUACCGGAGGUAAAGCACUGAAUGGGCUAGGGGCCGAGAGGUUACUGAACCCUAUCAAACUCUGAAUGCCGGAUAAUUGAUGUACAGCAGUCAGACUACGUGAGAUAAGUCUCGUGGUCGAGAGGGAAAAAGCCCAGACCCACAGCUAAGGUCCCAAAUACACGUUAAGUGGAAAAGGAUGUGGAGUUGCACAGACAACCAGGAUGUUGGCUUAGAAGCAGCCACUCAUUAAAAGAGUGCGUAAUAGCUCACUGGUCGAGUGACUCUGCGCCGAAAAUUCAACGGGGCUAAACGUGUAACCGAAGCUUGGGAUUUCAUUCACUGAACAAUGCUUUUUGUCAGGCAGGAGGGAAAGAUUUGCUGCCGAAGGCAGCUAAAUUCCCAAAAGCAAACGAGAGAGAAAGUAUUGGUCAGUGAAUGAAAUGGUAGGGGAGCGUCGUAUACGGGGUGAAGUAUGAGCGAAAGCGCAUGUGGACUGUAUACGAGUGAGAAUGCCGGAAUGAGUAGCGAGAAAUAUGUGAGAAUCAUAUUGGCCGAAAGUCUAAGGUUUCCGGAGGAAGGUUCGUCCGCUCCGGGUAAGCCGGGAGCUAAGGUGAGGCCGGAAGGCGUAGCCGAUGCACAUACGGUAGAGAUUCCGUAGCUGCCGGAGGAUUUAAGCAGAGGGACACUGUCAAAGGGUAUGACCCGGGCGUUGGUAGCCCCGGGCGAAAGGGACUGAAAUAUAGUAGGGAAGCAUACUUGGCGGCAGGCGAGAAAAGCUCUGUGGAUAUCUGAGGCACCCGUACCGCAAACCGACACAGGUAGACAGGAAGAGAAUUCUAAGGCCAACGGGAGAAGGGUUGUUAAGGAACUCGGCAAGUUGACCCCGUAACUUAGGGAAAAGGGGUGCUCCUGAAAGGGAGCCGCAGAGAAUAGGUCCAGGCGACUGUUUAGCAAAAACACAGCUCUAUGCUAAAUCGAAAGAUGACGUAUAUGGGGUGACACCUGCCCGGUGCCGGAAGGUUAAGAGGAGGAGUGAGAGCUCUGAAUUGAAGCCCCGGUAAACGGCGGCCGUAACUAUAACGGUCCUAAGGUAGCGAAAUUCCUUGUCAGGUAAGUUCUGACCCGCACGAAUGGUGUAACGAUCUGGACACUGUCUCAACAGCCCGCCCGGCGAAAUUGUAGUACCGGUGAAGAUGCCGGUUACCCGCGACAAGACGGAAAGACCCCAUGGAGCUUUACUGCAGCUUAAUAUUGGAUUUCGGUAUUUCAUGUACAGGAUAGGUGGGAGGCAGAGAAGGCAGCACGCCAGUGUUGCUGGAGCCGCCGUUGGGAUACCACUCUUGAGGUGCUGAAAUUCUAACCUGCGGCCGUGAAUCCGGUCGGGGGACAGUGUUAGGCGGGCAGUUUGACUGGGGCGGUCGCCUCCAAAAAGGUAACGGAGGCGCUCAAAGGUUGGCUCAGCAUGGACGGAAACCAUGCCAGAGAGUGUAAACGCACAAGCCAGCCUAACUGCGAGAGCGACAGUUCGAGCAGUAACGAAAGUUGGAGUUAGUGAUCCGGUGGUAUGUGAGUGGAAAUGCCAUCGCUCAACGGAUAAAAGCUACCCUGGGGAUAACAGGCUGAUCUCCCCCAAGAGUCCACAUCGUCGGGGAGGUUUGGCACCUCGAUGUCGGCUCAUCGCAUCCUGGGGCUGAAUUCGGUCCCAAGGGUUUGGCUGUUCGCCAAUUAAAGCGGUACGCGAGCUGGGUUCAGAACGUCGUGAGACAGUUCGGUCCCUAUCUGUCGUGGGCGCAGGAUAUUUGAGAGGAGCUGUCCCUAGUACGAGAGGACCGGGAUGGACGUACCUCUGGUGCACCAGUUGUCGUGCCAACGGCACAGCUGGGCAGCUAAGUACGGAUCGGAUAAACGCUGAAGGCAUCUAAGCGUGAAGCCGACCUCAAGAUAAGAUAUGCCACUGAGUAAUCAGGUAAGACCCCUUGAAGACUACAAGGUUGAUAGGCCGCAUGUGGAAGCGUCGUGAGGCGUGCAGCAAGGCGGUACUAAUCGGUCGAGGGCUUGACCAG